rnacentral:lncRNA from 1 species
ACUCUCCCUGCCCGUCACCCUUGGACAGCCGGCCUCCAUCUCCUGCAGGUCUAGUCAAAGCCUCGUAUACAGUGAUGGAAACACCUACUUGAAUUGGUUUCAGCAGAGGCCAGGCCAAUCUCCAAGGCGCCUAAUUUAUAAGGUUUCUAACCGGGACUCUGGGGUCCCAGACAGAUUCAGCGGCAGUGGGUCAGGCACUGAUUUCACACUGAAAAUCAGCAGGGUGGAGGCUGAGGAUGUUGGGGUUUAUUACUGCAUGCAAGGUACACACUGGCCUCCGUGCAGUUUUGGCCAGGGGACCAAGCUGGAGAUC